AUUGAACGCUGGCGGCAUGCUUUACACAUGCAAGUCGAACGGUAACAGGCCGCAAGGUGCUGACGAGUGGCGAACGGGUGAGUAAUGCAUCGGAACGUGCCCAGUCGUGGGGGAUAACGCAGCGAAAGCUGCGCUAAUACCGCAUACGAUCUAUGGAUGAAAGCGGGGGACCGUAAGGCCUCGCGCGAUUGGAGCGGCCGAUGUCAGAUUAGGUAGUUGGGGGGGUAAAGGCUCACCAAGCCAACGAUCUGUAGCUGGUCUGAGCGGACGGCCCGCCACACUGGGACUGAGAACCGGCCCAGACUCCUACGGGAGGCAGAAGUGGGGAAUUUUGGACAAUGGGCGCAAGCCUGAUCCAGCAAUGCCGCGUGCAGGAAGAAGGCCUUCGGGUUGUAAACUGCUUUUGUACGGAACGAAAAGGCUCUGGAUAAUACCUGGGGCUCAUGACGGUACCGUAAGAAUAAGCACCGGCUAACUACGUGCCAGCCGCCGCAGUAAGAC
rnacentral:rRNA from 1 species